CCCAAAGAGGGACUGUCCCUCGCAAAGUGGGACAGGUGGUAACCCUACCACUGAACCAGCAUACAUGCAUGUUUUCUGGAGGUAGAAGGAAACUUGAAUACCUGGGAACAUCAGGAUGGACAUGGAGAGAACUUGCAAACUUCAUACACACAGUAUUUGCAGUCUUGUUAUUGAAGCACAAGGAUGACACUGCAGUGAGCUGAAUGAGAAAUGCAAUAUCCUGUUUAUGCCUUGGCACGUUGGGAUCCCUGAAGAAGGUUAUUUAUUCAUGCACUUUAAGAUAUAGCCUUUCUGUGGCUGUAUGGCAGAUGUAAUAAAUAUGCGCAAGUGGAGGACAAGGAAGCGAAAUUUUCAUUGCUGAAACAUUCUAUUGUUAUUACAGUCAUAUAUCACUCAAAGGAUCUUAUUUUACUUAAGUCUAGCAGAUUACAACCUUGCAGUUUUAUUCAGCUGAAGACGGCAAGGCCAGAAAAACAUUUUAGUAGUUUGUCAUUCAGUUUUGAGGUUACAAUGCAAUAUUUUAUAAACAGCAUUGUAAAUUGUACAACAUUCUAAUAACUUACAGUUGCAGCUUUAGAUUAAGUUAAACAUGAUAUAUGUUUAGGUUUAAAUUGCAUAAUGGUUUAUCGCUUGUCUCCUUGACGGAGGUGCAUGAUAGGAAAACUCAUACAUCUGCUUGACUGACUGUCAAUUCUCUCUUUGAUGUAUCAUUAUACAAACCAACUCGUUCCCAAAAAUUACAAGUGUACUAGGCUGUUCUUCCCUACUGAAUUUCCCAUCUCAAGUCAAUGAAGUAAUUAAUUUAUUGUGCUUAAAUGAAAUGCUGUGGAAAUAUUUUACAAGAUGUCUGUUUAUACUUAUUUUAAAUGUGCACAGUUUGUAUAUUUUGGGUAUGAUUUCUAAAUGUGAAGGGGAAUAUUGCCACUGUUAUCAUGUACAGAUAAACUAAAUGAAAAAUAAAGUGAUGUAUUUAUAAUG